ensembl:lncRNA
GGGCUGUCAUGCACACCCGGAUGCUGGAAAGGGGCUUUGCUGCUGGCUGCUGAUGGAGAAAUCCUCUUGGGCCCGGAGAGCUGUUUUGUGAGCAACCUAUGUGAGCCAACACGUUCCUCAGCAAACUUGUCCGCAGCUUCUGUCUGCUGAGGGGACGGAGGUGGAUUCCAACAAUGCUUUGUCAUAGGCUAGCCAGCACGAAGAGGAGGCUUCUGUCAUUAGGCUGCUAACUGAAGUGCCAAGUAUGCUAUAAUAGGCAGCAGAUGAAGGCACUGAAAUGGAGCUUGAUUUUCAGCACUGUGCUGCGUUUACAACAGUCACCCAACACAAGGGUGCUCCGUAGAUUUGAACACUGAAGUAAUGCACUGUGGAUAUCAAGAAAGCGAGAAAGCAAGACCAGGAAGAAAGAAGCAAGAGUGAAAAUUAAUCAUUCCUUCGCCACAGAAAGGCCUCCCAGUGUUGCAGUUAUUUUAUAGUCACGCUCUCUUCAAAAACCUGUAGUGCAUUCCUUACUGGGAAAGGUAUCACCAGCUGCAGGUUUGCCCUCCUGCAAGCUCCACCUUGCUUGGGACAGGCAGCUUCCAGGAACGUGUAACGUCAAACAAAACCAAAAAGGGCUUCUGGAAAACAGUCCUGGGCUGACCAAGACCCUGUGUACCUUCACCAGUAGCUCAGGGUAACCCCUAGGUGCCAUGGACCAGGGAGUGAGGAGUCACCAGGCCAGGAAGGGCUGCUGGCAUUCCCUGGGGCUGGAUCAAGACCUACCUGCCUUGGUAGGGAGAGCAAGGAGAAGGCCAGUGUUGAAUUGGAGGAGGAAAAACUGCUUUCUCAGGAGAACCUUCCUGGCUUCCCGCUGGUGCCAGCAGACAGGGACUCUUACAGAGAAGGCUGGGAGGCUGCAAGCCCUGCUGAGUGCCUUGCUCCAUUCCCCAAAUAGAAGUGCUCAGCAGUCACUGCUCCAAACAAGGUGCUUGGCAAAGGCAGCUGUUACUUGGCAGUCUGCCUGGUGCCCCGAAAUAACGCUGCUGGCUGAGAGUGAACCUGCUGCAUCACCACUGCUUUCAGGAAACCAAGCACCCCAUCGGGAUGGAUAAGCAAACAGAACACAGUCCUCCCCUUCCUACAGAGGUAGGGGUGAUUUCACUUUAACUGUAGCAUGCAAAAUGCAGAACAACUAGUGGAGAAGCUUUGCCAUUAAAUCAGCAUGAAUCUGGAGUGCCACAUGCUGAUUUCUGCACUGACCUUUUAAGUGCUAAUUGGUCUUUUAUGUCUUCUUUACUGAAACUGAAAACACUCUUGGGUUCCGCUUGCUGUAACUGUUCAACUCUACAAGCAAUUGGAAAUAAGGAGUAAAUCUUUUCCAUAAUGAAGAUAUAUGCUGUAUGUAGGAUUUUCAUGUGCCCAGCACUGCUCUGCUUCUGUUGAAAAGGAUGGAAAACCACCUUGAAACCACUGCAAUAAAAACCAGGUGAAUUCCG